GGCUGAAAUUCGCCUUCAUGAAGCCGGAAUUGCUAGUAAUGGCAGGUCAGCAUACUGCCGUGAAUACGUUCCCGGGCCUUGUACACACCGCCCGUCACACCAUGAGAGUUGGGAAUACCCGAAGCCUGUGAGCUAACGUUAAGAGGCAGCAGUCGAAGGUAGAAUCAAUGAUUGGGGUGAAGUCGUAACAAGGUACC
rnacentral:rRNA from 1 species